AACAUUGCAAUACAAGACUCCUUAUCUAUGAGUUUUACAUAACAAUGUAAGACUAUAGACAUUUCUAGUCAUCUCCAAGUGUUCCAAAACAUGUCAUGAAUCAAGCUACCUUUUAUUCAAUGAAUCUGCAGUAAUGUAGAUGAAAUGCCAAAGCAUGAAAAUGUGCAAGAAUCAGUUCAUUGAAAAAUAUAUCCCUAAAUUUGCAAAACAUAGAGGAAAUUACCAAUGCCCAGUA
rnacentral:misc_RNA from 1 species